GAAGUGUAGCCCAGUCAAAACAGUAAAUGAACCUCCAACCAGGCCAUAAAAAAAGAUAGAUGAAUUAUCUCACAAGAAAUGAAAAAUAAUCUUCUUGGAACGGGUUGUGGGCUGCAGACCUACACUCCCAACACUGGGAAGUUGAGGCAGGAGUUCAAGGUCACCCAUGGUUAUAGAGGAAGUUUGAGGCCAGUCUAUUAAAACGAACAAGCAAACAAGUAAAAGAAUCAUACGGUAGCCCACUAUGCCUCAGAAGAGCACAGAUAUCUGGUGUGGAACAGCCUGUAAUAUCAGAAGACAGGCUGAGACAGGAGGACUCUAAAGCACAGAAAAAGAAGGCCAUGGCCAUAUUUGCCCAUCCCUUCCCCUGUGGGGAAGGACUACCUCAGUCUCAUACCUCUGUGUUGACACAGCCCCUCAGAGUUCCAAAGGAGAAGCCAAGGGACUGGAAACACACACGGCUCCGUCCCUCAGUAAGGCAGAUACUGGAGGAGCCAACACGGCUGUCCCCCACAACCUCUCACUCACAGCAGAGCAUCCCCAGCAGGCAACACCAGAAGAGAGGUGGCCAAGCCCAGAACAAGUCUGAAGCCAGGCAAAGGCAGCUGAAUGGCAGAGAGCAGUCCCACAGGUCCCAUAUGGUGUAUUUAUGCACCAAGGGCCAGGGGAGCAGGUAUGUACCGUUUCUGUCCCAGUUAGGGUUUCUAUUAUUGCAGCGAGACACCAGGAGCAAAGCAAGGCGAGGAGGACAGAGUUCAUCUUGCUUACACUUCCACAUCAUGGUCCAUCGCUGAAGAAGUCAGGGCAGGAUCUCAAACAGGGCAGGGGCUGGAGGCAGGAGCUGAUACAGAAGCCAUCGAAGCUUGCUGGCACGGCUUGCUCAGCCUGCUUUCUUACAGGACUACCAGCCCAGGGCUGGUACCACCCACAAUGGGCCUACAGGUUUGCUUACAGCCUGAUUUCAUUGAGGCAUUUUCUCAAUUGAGAUUCCCUCCUUUCAGGUGACUUUAGCUUGUCAAGUUGACAUAAAUCUGAAUCUAGCCAGCACAAGUACCAACUCUGGAAGGCUUCUAAGCAACAAGCUUCCUAACUUGAAAGCAUAGAUCUGGGUCCAGUCUCCAGUACUGCACAGAACAGGCCACUGCGGCCCCCGUAACCCCAGCACUUGGAAGGUAGAGGCAGGAGGAUCAGAAGUUUAGCGUCAUCCUUGGCUACAAAAUGAAUUUGAGGCUAGCCUGGGCUAUAUAGGACUGUCUCAAAAAACAAACAAACAAACAAACAAACAAACAAAACAAAAAGGAAGAGAAGAGAAGAGAAGAGAAGAGAAGGAGAAGGAGAAGGAGAAGGAGAAGGAGAAGGAGAAGGAGAAGGAGAAGGAGAAGGAGAAGGAGAAGGAGAAGAGAAGGAGAAGAGAAGAGAGGAGAAGAGAAGAGAAGGAAAGAGAAGGAAAGAGAAGGAAAGAGAAGGAAAGAGAAGGAAAGAGAAAUGACACCUUAAGGUGGCUUCUUGGUUGCUGGAGAGAAAGAACAGGGCCAACCUUGAAACUCUGGAGCUAGCAUGGACUUCAUGUGGCCUUGGCCACAAGCAAUGUCACAGGAAGUCAGCACUGGACAAGCCACCUGCUUUGUGGUGAAUCAAAAAGAACCGAUACUACUCUGUAUGCAUGUCAGACACAGACAAACUGAGCAGAUCAGCGUUUCUCAGUCUUGGAGUCUAAAAUGACUCUGCCUCCCUGGGCCUUCUGGGACUCUUUUCUAAGAUGUGUUGCAGCUCCCCCUGGUGGACUUCCUCCUCCACUGCAAAACCUGCCCAACCACACCUGGUGCUCCUAGUGUUUGGCUAGAACAGUGGCUUCUACGCAAUCCUGUGCAUAUGGGCAUAUAAAUGACUACAUUCAGACAUUUGCCAGCAACCAAUUAUGGAGAAGUUGAUUUUGAAGCAAUUUUGGUAGACAUAUUUGAAACUAUGUUUGGUGACAUUGUCAUUUAUUAAAGAUGAAAGCAAAUUUGCAUGCU
ensembl:lincRNA Etos1 ectopic ossification 1